rnacentral:lncRNA from 1 species
GUCGGACAACGGGCCCGCUUUCGUCUCCCAAGUAAGUCAGUUGGUGGCCAAAUUGCUGGGGAUUGAUUGGAAAUUACAUUGUGCCUAUAGACCCCAGAGUUCAGGUCAGGUAGAACGCAUGAAUAGAACAAUUAAGGAGACUUUAUCCAAACUUGCGCUUACAACUGGCUCAAAGGAUUGGGUGGCCCUCCUUCCCCUAGUUCUAUAUCGGGCCCGGAAUACCCCGGGCCCCCAUGGUCUAACUCCUUUUAAAAUAAUAUAUGGAGCACCACCCCCAUUUGUCCAUUUCUUUGAUUCAACAUUGCUGAUUUUGCUGACAGCCCUUCUCUGAGGGCCCAUUUACAGGCCCUACAGAUUGUGCAGAGAGACGUCUGGAGACCUAUGGCCACUGCUUACCAGGACAAGCUUGAACAUCCGAUGGUGCCACACCCGUUCCAGAUUGGAGACACCGUGUGGGUGCGCAGACACCAGACCAAGAAUCUCGAGCCACGGUGGAAAGGACCCUACACCGUCCUCCUGACUACCCCGACCGCCCUAAAGGUAGACGGAGUCGCGGCUUAGAUCCACGCACCACACGUCAAGACAGUCCGGUCUGAGGAAUUGACUAAUCACAACACUACACCCCAGACAUGGAGAGUUCAGCGCACUCCAAACCCCUUAAAGUUAAAACUCCUACGUGGCUCCUCCUAGCCCUUUUGUGGCCUAGAGUCAGUGGGGGAAUAAGCCCCCACCAGACAGAAAUUUCUUGACCAAGUCGAGUGAAA